rnacentral:rRNA from 1 species
AUUGAACGCUGGCGGCAGGCUUAACACAUGCAAGUCGAGCGGAGAUGAGGUGCUUGCACCUUAUCUUAGCGGCGGACGGGUGAGUAAUGCUUAGGAAUCUGCCUAUUAGUGGGGGACAACAUUCCGAAAGGAAUGCUAAUACCGCAUACGUCCUACGGGAGAAAGCAGGGGAUCUUCGGACCUUGCGCUAAUAGAUGAGCCUAAGUCGGAUUAGCUAGUUGGUGGGGUAAAGGCCUACCAAGGCGACGAUCUGUAGCGGGUCGGAGAGGAUGAUCCGCCACACUGGGACUGAGACACGGCCCAGACUCCUACGGGAGGCAGCAGUGGGGAAUAUUGGACAAUGGGGGGAACCCUGAUCCAGCCAUGCCGCGUGUGUGAAGAAGGCCCUAUGGUUGUAAAGCACUUUAAGCGAGGAGGAGGCUACUGAGACUAAUACUCUUGGAUAGAGGACGUUACUCGCAGAAUAAGCACCGGCUAACUCUGUGCCAGCCGCCGCCGUAA